rnacentral:misc_RNA from 1 species
AAAAUAGACGCAAUGGAAUAAUAGAAAAACCAUGAAGUAAUUAAUUAGAUAAUUAAUUAAAAAGGUAGAAUAGUCUUUUCUGUCUAUUAAUUUUAAGGUUACCCAUAUUGAUUCACUUUUUAUCCAAAUUCUUGAUCCCAAAGCAUUCCGUGAUAAUAAAGAAAAGGGACACUAGGUCGACCUAUAACUGGUGAUAAUAGUAACCUGGUGAAUUUGG